CUAACAGAGGUUGUUGGUUUUUCCUGCUUCUAGUAUGUAUUGUUUCCUGCAUACACAAGAAACACACCCUAAAAGCACUUUUAUAGAAAAAUAAAACAAAACGCAAUUAAAGAAAAAUAAAACAAAAAUAAUUACAACCAAGUCAAAUUCAAUCAAUUCACACUACUACAAAAAUAAACCUCGAGUCCCCGGCAACGGCGCCAAAAACAUGUUGACAAAUUGGCAAGCGUACCAAAUCGUACAAGUAAUAUAAAUGGUAAGACCAAG
rnacentral:lncRNA from 1 species